rnacentral:tRNA from 1 species
ACUUAUAUAGUUUAAAUAAAACAUUUCAUUUUCAAUGAAAAAAUAGAUUAUCUUAUAAGUU